UCCGGGUUUUCCUGGAGACCCGGCUCCCGGGAGGGUCGGGAGACGGUGCUCCUGCGGUCCUCUCCUCCGCGGGGAGUCGCACAGUGUGCGAUUCUGGAGGGAGCCGAGCCCCAAAAAGCUCCUAAGGAGGGCAGGGACCGAAGGCCAGAAGGAGCAGAACAACUUCGGAGUUUUCAUUUUUCUCACCGUGCCUUUUUUUUUUUCUUGCUCCCCUUCCCCAAAACAACUUUCUCUUCCGGGGUCAGGAAGUACCGCCCCGCCGCGUACCUUGAGCGCGGGGUAGCGAAAGAGUCGGUUCUGGCUUUCCGACACCCCCUCCUCCUAACCCCGCUUGUGCCCUGUGUCUGCGCACACUCGCUGGCAGGCCCUACGACCUGAGAGCAUCUUCGGUGAGCAGGACUUAUCUGAGAUGUACGUGUCACCCACUUCCUGGUGCCACCAAAAGCAUGAAUGUCAGUCUUCAAAAAUCUUCUAAAAGAUGCUCCGAGAAGAAAGGAGAUGGCAAAGGUGCGCUUCUGCACUAGCUCCACCUUAGCCAGAUGUGCUUUGGGGGUUAACCUGGGCUGAAAGUUAACGAUACAAAAUAACCAAACUCACUCCUCAUGAACAGUUGAUGACUCCGUUUUAGGCCAAAUACAAUAGCUAAUAGACUGUUUUAAGAGUCUUCUCUGACUCCCCACCCAGCAAAGGAAGCCUUAUGCUCCCUCAGCUCAAAUCUGGAGUCACCAACAUCACAAUAUGCAGAAGAUUGAAAAUUGAGCUUGCUUAGUAACCAAGACAGAGUUUGCUCUGAAACUUUUUUUCAUUGUCUCUUCAGUAUUUUUAACUGCACAGGACACGUGCCCAGGGGGAGAGGGGGAGAGAUACAUAAAGGUUUCGUCUCUAUCAAGAGGAUCUCUUGUCUUAAUUGAUGAAGGAGGAAAUUUGAUGUGUUUUUACCUCAGAAUUAUCACCUAGGCUUGAUGGUUACAGCCAGUACCUAAUUCCUGCCACUAUGCUGACUUCACUUUUUAAUCUGACUUGGUGCCUGCAUUCUUGAGGCGGACUUUGAGCCUCCACUCCUCCUUCAUUCUUGCAUUCCAGAAGCGUGUAUAAAGCCCAUGUCCUGCCACCUCCCAUGGAAAACUCUGAUUCCUGAUUGAGACAUCCAAGAAGAUACGUCACUAACUUUGUGGGUUUUCCAACUGCUUUUUUUUUUUUUUAAGUUAUAGAAAGCUGACCUACUCAGUUUAAUGUUGUUGUAUUUUGUUUUGUUUGGUUUGGUUUUUCAGAAAUACUCACACUAGAUGUUUUAAUAAAUGAUAAGUAUGUUUUU
rnacentral:lncRNA from 1 species